rnacentral:rRNA from 1 species
CCUACGGGGUGCAGCAGUCGAGAAUCAUUCACAAUGGGGGAAACCCUGAUGGUGCGACGCCGCGUGGGGGAAUGAAGGUCUUCGGAUUGUAAACCCCUGUCAUGUGGGCGCAAAUUAAAAAGAUAGUACCACAAGAGGAAGAGACGGCUAACUCUGUGCCAGCAGCCGCGGUAAUCCAGAGGUCUCAAGCGUUGUUCGGAAUCACUGGGCGUAAAGCGUGCGUAGGCUGUUUCGUAAGUCGUGUGUGAAAGGCGCGGGCUCAACCCGCGGACGGCACAUGAUACUGCGAGACUAGAGUAAUGGAGGGGGAACCGGAAUUCUCGGUGUAGCAGUGAAAUGCGUAGAUAUCGAGAGGAACACUCGUGGCGAAGGCGGGUUCCUGGACAUUAACUGACGCUGAGGCACGAAGGCCAGGGGAGCGAAAGGGAUUAGAUACCCCGGUAGUC